GGGGAUGACCGGAAUCGACAGGAUUGACCUUCGGUUGGUAAGCAUGCCGAGCCAUGAAGCUAUACCUCGUUAAAAUAUGCUUCAAACAACAACCGGCGACGUUCAGUACGCUAUGGCUGCCUAGUUCAAGGAAUUAGUAGGCCUUUGCAUGUUGCAUCCGUUCUUCGUGAACUCGUAAUUUGUCUGUAGUUACAGAUGCCAUGUAUCAACCUUUACAGAUUGCUUCUAUUGUCUGCUCGAACAAUAGACUAAGAUAAGAGCUAAGGUAUUCGUUUGAGUGUGUUUCCCGACUUUACGGAUACACGAAAAAAGCAAUAGGAAAAUAAGCAUGUAGAAAGCCCUCAGGAGCUUUCGCUGGACGAGGGUUCGAAUCCCUCCAUCUCCACUU
rnacentral:tmRNA from 1 species